GACGAACGCUGGCGGCGUGCCUAAUACAUGCAAGUUGAGCGCUGAAGGUUGGUACUUGUACCAACUGGAUGAGCAGCGAACGGGUGAGUAACGCGUGGGGAAUCUGCCUUUGAGCGGGGGACAACAUUUGGAAACGAAUGCUAAUACCGCAUAAAAACUUUAAACACAAGUUUUAAGUUUGAAAGAUGCAAUUGCAUCACUCAAAGAUGAUCCCGCGUUGUAUUAGCUAGUUGGUGAGGUAAAGGCUCACCAAGGCGAUGAUACAUAGCCGACCUGAGAGGGUGAUCGGCCACAUUGGGACUGAGACACGGCCCAAACUCCUACGGGAGGCAGCAGUAGGGAAUCUUCGGCAAUGGACGAAAGUCUGACCGAGCAACGCCGCGUGAGUGAAGAAGGUUUUCGGAUCGUAAAACUCUGUUGGUAGAGAAGAAAGUUGGUGAGAGUGGAAAGCUCAUAAAGUGACGGUAACUACACAGAAAGGGACGGCUAACUACGUG
rnacentral:rRNA from 1 species